rnacentral:rRNA from 1 species
GCGCGAAAACUUUACAAUGCGGGAAACCGUGAUAAGGGAACCCCGAGUGCCCGUAGAAUCGGGCUGUUGAUCUGUGUAAAAAAGCAGGUAAAGAAAGGGCCGGGCAAGACCGGUGCCAGCCGCCGCGGUAAUACCGGCGGCUCGAGUGGUGGCCACUAUUACUGGGCUUAAAGCGUUCGUAGCUGGGUUGUUAAGUCUCUUGGGAAAUCCACCGGCUCAACCGAUGGGCGACCAGGGGAAACUGGCAUUCUAGGGACCGGGAGAGGUGAGAGGUACUCCAGGGGUAGGAGUGAAAUCCUGUAAUCCUUGGGGGACCACCGAUGGCGAAGGCAUCUCACCAGAACGGCUCCGACAGUGAGGAACGAAAGCUGGGGGAGCAAACCGGAUUAGAAACCCUAG